rnacentral:rRNA from 1 species
GUGGGGAAUAUUGGACAAUGGGGGGAACCCUGAUCCAGCCAUGCCGCGUGUGUGAAGAAGGCCUUUUGGUUGUAAAGCACUUUAAGCGAGGAGGAGGCUACCGAGAUUAAUACUCUUGGAUAGUGGACGUUACUCGCAGAAUAAGCACCGGCUAACUCUGUGCCAGCAGCCGCGGUAAUACAGAGGGUGCAAGCGUUAAUCGGAUUUACUGGGCGUAAAGCGCGCGUAGGUGGCCAAUUAAGUCAAAUGUGAAAUCCCCGAGCUUAACUUGGGAAUUGCAUUCGAUACUGGUUGGCUAGAGUAUGGGAGAGGAUGGUAGAAUUCCAGGUGUAGCGGUGAAAUGCGUAGAGAUCUGGAGGAAUACCGAUGGCGAAGGCAGCCAUCUGGCCUAAUACUGACGCUGAGGUACGAAAGCAUGGGGAGCAAACAGGAUUAGAUACCCUUGUAGUCC